rnacentral:rRNA from 1 species
AUUGAACGCUGGCGGCAGGCCUAACACAUGCAAGUCGAACGAGUGGCGGACGGGUGAGUAAUGUCUGGGAAACUGCCUGAUGGAGGGGGAUAACCACUUGAAACGGUUGCUAAUACCGCAUACUAUCAGAUGUGCCCAGAUGGGAUGAGCUAGUUUGUGGGGUAACGGCUCACAAAGGCGACGAUCCCUAGCUGGUCCGAGAGGAUGACCAGCCACACGGGAACUGGGACACGGUCCAGACUCCUAGGGGAGGCAGCAGUGGGGAAUAUUGCCCAAUGGGCGAAAGCCUGAUGCAGCCAUGCCGCGUGGAUGAAGAAGGCCUUGGGGUUGUAAAGUACUUUCAGCGGGGAGGCGUUACCCGCAGAAGAAGCACUGGCUAACUCCGUGCCAGCAGCCGCGGUAAUAC